CAAACACGAGGACACGAACAGAGCAGCGAGGACAGACACAGAUGCUCUAUCAUCAACUAGACUUACACAGCUCACAGAAACAGAUUGUAUUCAUGCAACGUGCCAGCGCCGGACCACGUGGGACUAAACACGGUAUAUGUCUGCAGGUUUUUCAAAGAACUUGGGGCUAUUAAGCCCUCGCCGUGUCUUAUGUAAUAAUCCAGCUGUUUAUUGAGUGAAUUGGUUGGGUUUAGGGAGAGCUAGGUUUCCCCCUUGAGAAAGGAGGGAGGCUGGAUCCAGAUGCUUAUUGCUGCCUGGCCGACGUUGGGGCUGAGACUGUGCCGUGUGCUGGAGGCUCAGCCCCGAACGCUGAUUCUUUCAUCUUAACUCUCGUAAAUCCCAAUCAUAAGUUCAUCUGCCUAACUGAUUUUUGUACAUAAAUUGGUGAAAUACUCAUACUGCAAAUCGCUUUCUUAACAGGACAGGAAAAUGAAGAUCAAAAUCAAUUGAAACAAUAACAGCUGCAGAAGUGCUCGCCUCCUCUUGACUACAGGGCGACUCGUCUGUGCCCAAAAAAGUAGAUUUGAAAAAACCAAACAAAACAGCUGCACUGACUAAAAAACACAUUUGCCUCGUCGUCUUAUAAAACUUGCUGUAUAACAGGAAAAUACACAAUGUGAAGUCCAAUUAAUGUGUUAAAAUGAUAUUUUAUGCUGAUGAGGUAAUGAGGGACGAUCUCAUGUGGUUUAAUGUUAACCACUUCAGUGUGUCGUUUGUAGACACUACAAUAAAAGGUUUGAAAACUGCAAGCCAUUGCAUCCACAUUGAAAUUCCUUGUUGAUGUCCACUCUGCACCAUCAGCCUCUCUGGCUAAGCCUCAGGAAUACCAACCAGCAGUCAGCCCC